AGGCGUUGGGAUUUUCAUCGCUGAAGAGCUGAGGGGGUGGGACCCGCUCCAUGACGUAGACAGGAGGGUAGUAGUACUGAUACAUUCUCUUCCUCCUCAUCAUUUCCUCGGCGGCGGCGGCGGCGGCGGCGGCAUUAAUGCUGUAGUAGUAGUAUUCAUCCUUGACUUCUCAUUCCU